rnacentral:rRNA from 1 species
GCUAUCUAAGGAAAUUCUUCGGAACGGAAUUUUUGAUAGACUUAGUGGCAAACGGGUGAGUAACGCGUGAAUAACCAACCCAUCUGACCGGAAUAACCAUCGGAAACGAUUGCUAAUACCGGAUAUGAGCUACCAUCGUAUGUUGGUAGUUUGAAACGCUUUAGUGCAGAUGGACGGGUUCGCGUUCCAUUAGUUAGUUGGUGGGGUAAUGGCCUACCAAGACCGCGAUGGAUAGCCGGCCUGAGAGGGUGAUC